AAGCAUUGCCAUAUAGUGGAGUUUUAAGCUUAACAUCCUCAGGUUCCACGUGAAAAAAUAUGGGAAGGAUACUUUUUUUACCCUCUGAUUGAGACACGUUGUCUAUUAUGUGCGCAAGCUCACGGAGACACCAUUUGCUGGAAGCAUAAUUCUGAGAGAAAAUGGGUAUAUAAAUCAUAGAGUUGUUGAUAGCACGUAGAAGGUUCCCACCAAUCACUUCGCCAUCACGGAGUUCAUCUUCAUCCCUGAAUAUGCGGACUCCCGCAUCUACCAAGCUGUGGUAGAGGAAGUCCGUGAAACCAUAACGAGUGUCGAGUCCUCUGAAAUUCAGGAACACUUGAUACUCGCCCCCUAAUGCUCGCAUAACGUCACUACUCAAUCCAGCCUUCGAGUUUGCCAUAGCUAGGAAUUGAUUACUUCCGGAUCUCUUUCUCUGCUGUAGAGAAAAGAAGUUGGUGCCGAGGCUUUCGAGGCAAGUUAUAGAAAAGUAGAUACCAGUGAAGGUGCGCGAGACUUUUUUAACAAGUUUCGAAAUUUAAAAAAGACUCAUCGGGAGACCAUAAGGGCCACCCAAAAAAAAAAAAAAAAACCCCCCCCCCCCCCCCCCCCCCCCCCCCUUUUUCUUUUUCCCCGUUAAAUUAAAAGCAUCCAAUCCACUAAAACCGCCCGAGAAAUUCCUCCAAAUCAUGCCUAUAACCUUUUUUGGUUCGAACGAAAAAAAGUAUAUUAUUUAGGAACUUAAUAGAACGAUCAUCUGUUUUUUUAAAUUUAUGGGGCAAUUAUAAUGUAUGAAAAAAUUGUUUUCAAAUUUAACCAAAAAUAGAAAUCUGGAAAAAAAACAGUAAUCCAAAAAAUUUGUUCCUAAACGUGUUUUUGCUUUCAGAAAUACACUUCAAAUUACAAGCGCGUCUAUGUUUUAGCACUUUAAGCUGCUUACAAAUUGCACACGCGCACACACAUACAUACAUAUAUAUAUUUGGAUGUUGAAUUAUUUAGAAAAAAAAUUGGGCCAAAUUACCUGCGGCCAACUUUGAGCCCAACCUCGGAGCCUACUUCCGGCGUCGCCGCCGGCAGAGUUGUCCGCUGCGUCUAGGCUGACGCCGCUGCGUGUCCAGGCCGAGCCGCCCCUCCGUGUCCAAGACGGAACGCUUCAGAUCUGUGGACGAGAAGAAGAGGAACGAGCUGUCAUCGCAAGUGACGAACCGUUCACAGAUCUGAGCGCUCUGAUCCUCGCUAGUAACGACGGCAGCGGCUUGUUACUCACGCCGACGUCUGAGCGGUGGGCGUGGAGGUUGGAGCUCAGAUCUGUGGAGGAGAGGCCGUCCGUGGCUGACCACCGCUUUGCAUCUCCAGGUCUGUGGACUAGCAGCUGUAUCGGCCAAGGCACAGCCGCUGAGACGACCAGUUCUGGAUUCUGUUGCCGGCCGAAGUUGUGGGCGGAGCGAGAGAUAUAAGAUACAACGUCUACUUUAUGUGCAGUUUUUUUUCUUUUUUUUAAUAAUCCAGGGAAGCCCACGGACGGUUUGGAAUAAAUCCUGGGGGCAAACUAGAGGACCCACCACCCUAGCCACCAGGUAAGACGCAAGCGUCUCCGCGGAGAGUCGAAUCCUCUCCCUCCAAGAAAGGGUCAACGGGUCCCCCCAUGAUGGAGAAGACUAAUCAGGUGUGGUCUUUUUGUAUAGUUCUCGCCUGCUAAAUGCCCUAAUUUAAAGAUGUUAAGUAGAUGCUUCUUCAAAUGCUACAUAUCUUUUUCAUAUGCUAAAUAUCCUAAUUUAAAAAUAUUAAGUAGAGUGUUAAAACUUUUUUUUUCGCUCUGAGUACCACAAAUUUGAAAAAUCGAUUAUUUAAGUGUCACUUUCAAUUUGCCUCAUCGAAAACACUAAUGUGAUUGUUGGAAAAUAUUUUAAAUAUUUAUUAUUAUUAUAUUUUUUGAAUUUUUUUUUUAUUUUUUUUAUUUUUUGUCUUUUGUUUUUCUUUAGGGUUUGCGAGAGUCACUAGUGAUCCUCACUGACCGCAGUCGCCUCGCCCUUGGCCAUGAAGGCCCUGGGCGAAGCCAUCACUUUGGGCGACAUGCAGCUUUAGGUAGUCGUGAGCCAUGUCAUGAGGGUCGUUGCGGCCUCACCUAGAGCCUUUGCAGCGAGGGUGAGGUGGCCCUUGCCCAAAUCUGAUUGCGAAGACCCUGGGCAAGGCCAUUAGGGCCUCAUUGACCGCUAGCGAGGCUGCAACAGCCCUUAACUGCCCUAGGUGGUGUUGCCUGUGUUUGGCAAGGGCCCUUGUAGUGUCACCCAAGGCCUUCAUGGCAAAAGGUGAGGCGGCCACAGCUAGCGAGGGUCACCAGUUGCCCUUGUCGGCCCUAAAGAAAAAAAAAACAAAAAAAAAAAAGGAGCAAAAUACAAAUAAAACUAAAAAAUUUUUAAAAGAAAAAUCCACGCAAGACAUUUGACUAGAAUUAACAUUCAAGUGAUCAAUUUUUCUUUGAUGUGAUACUUGAGUGAGUGAAAGAAGAAGAAGAUUUUCACCCUCAAGUGAGCGUCAUGCAAAAGUUUUGGCACUACUGUUCUUAUGCCCUUGUUUUCGCAUUCUGCAAUACUAGGAUGAGAGAGGUUGUUGUCGCAUCUUUGCAGAAGGGGACUUGAUCUUUGAAUUUUCUGAAGGAAACCAUCAAUGAGGUGGGGGAUGGGGACGAAGAUGGAGCGUGUGGUUUGCCUUGCAAAUUGCAAUGACUUUAUCUUGAAUGGACCUAGCUGUGAAAUUGAUUUGAUUGAGUGAGAUGGAAUAGGAUUAAGAUAAGAUGGUGUGCAUUUUCCAAUCGAAAUGUUAAGGAUAUUGAAUUUGACAUGUCAAAAACAAAAUUACUAAAAUAUGUGACUAAUCGUAAGUAGAUGAAUAGGGAAGUGGAUUAUGUUCAAAUUUGUCCAACUAGUUUGAGGUAUUAUUUUGUGAAUUGAUAACGAGCAUACAUAAUUUAGAAUUGAUAGCUUUGUAUUUCUAAAGUACCUAUAUAUAAUGAAAAACACUAUUGAAUACCAACCGAGUGAGUGAUAUGUAUCAUCUUAUGANNNNNNNNNNNNNNNNNNNNNNNNNNNNNNNNNNNNNNNNNNNNNNNNNNNNNNNNNNNNNNNNNNNNNNNNNNNNNNNNNNNNNNNNNNNNNNNNNNNNNNNNNNNNNNNNNNNNNNNNNNNNNNAUUUCUAGAAGUGUUCCCAUCGAGUCAUUCAAUUUUCAAAUUAAUAACCUAUCUUGAUGAAAUCGAGAGAGGAGGAAUGAACUUCACUCAGCAAGUGAUAAUUUACCAAAAUACCACUCGACACAAACACACAAAAGAAAUAUCACUAUGUAAAUUCAAUGCUAACCUAGUCGAAAGUUGGCUAUUACACCAUGCCAUGGUUCUUAAAAUGGCUAUUUUGGAAACGGCAUGCUAUGCUCUACAGGUCGACAGCAUGGUCUAUCAUAAGUAUUUCAAGUGGGCACCAUGGAUAGUCAUGCUUUUCAAUUUGCAUCGGUAAUAUAGGGGGGAAACGAGAAGAUGCAACAUGGGCGCUGACUGUUGAUAAAAAUGGGAACUUCUGCACGUUGUACGUUGUGCAUUGGACCGAAGACCUAUUCAUGUGGACAGGCUAAUUGAAGUACCUGGGUUCUUAACUGGUAGUCCAACAAGAUUGGGCUUUCCCUACUAAAGCAGCUCUUUAAGCCCAUGUAGCACAGAAGAUGCUUGGCUUCAAACAUGGACUUAUUCUUUCAGGUUGUCCUCCUCUACUUUCAAUAUAAGCAAUAAAAGAUCUCUAUCAUCCCCAAAAUAAAGGGAUAGAAAAUGUCUGUAAUUAACUGGUUUUUACUUCCCAGACUUCAAUGAUCUCUGCUCAUAUAUUUUAGUUUCUCCUGGUGAGAUAAUUCUUGGAUCGAAUUUCUGUAAAAGUUUUUUUUUUCUUUCUUUGGAUGAAAGAACGAGUUUACAUAAGUCGAUGGCAUAACAUGAAGAGGAGUAAUGCCGCAUAAAACCGUAAGUACUAUGAUGGACAGCCUGCUGAAAAACAUCGAAAAGCAUAAUCUCUAGCUUCUCCUAAAAGCUUCUUGAGCAAGAGGAGAGGAUCGAGACGAGUGAAGAAUGCAACCGUCUAAUCAUAGGCAAAAUUAAGAGUACACAAAUGCAUUUCUCAUGAAUUUCGUGAAUUUAUUUGGUCUAUGCAGAAGUAGUUCGCCUUUAGGCAAAACCGAUGCAAUCAGGUCCAAACUACUUUAGAUGGAGACCCCGUGCGUUUCUCCCACAUUUAAUUUAUGUUUGAUGUUUCCUUUUUAUUUUACAUAUUUUCGUUCUUUUCUAGAUUUUCACUUUUUACUAUUUUGAAAACAAACUUUUAUAUUAUAUUUAUCACAUAAGAUGCCAUGUCAAUCUUUAUAGACACGUCUGUAUCUAUAUUUAAUGGAAGGACCAACUCGAAUAAAAGAAAUACUUCGGGGAUUUAAUUAUAUAAGUAAUGUUGAUAAAUUUGAUUGAACAUUUUGCUAUAAUUCAGUAACUUUCAAUACUUUAUUCCUUCUUUUUUUUUUUGUGUGUGCAUAUGAUGGGGCUUGCCAAUUAACUCACACAAGGUCAAUAGCCCGUGCAUCGCAUGGAAUUGUCGACAACUAUUUUGGGCAUGACAUUUUUUAAAGCUUUGAAGCUCUAAUUACUACUUGUAAACACUACUCAUUGUUGCAAGGAAGACGUUUCGCAUUAAAACAUUUUUUACGCACUGAAAUGAUAGAAAAGCUCCCCAUGAGAUCCUUAGUAACAGAGCAGUAGCUACACAUUUUCUGUAUUCAUCCAGCUAACAAAUUAUGACAAGCAAAAUAUCAACAAGGAACCCGAUUCAAACUAGUCCUAAAAUUGCUCCUUUACAAUCUUGAGUUAGAACAACUCCUGUGGAUGUUUUCGUUCGCGAUCCUCUAACAAUGCUGCAACCUUGAAAUCAUAGUAACGUGCUUCUGCCUCGCAUCUGCAACAGAAAUUAUCCAAACAUAGUUUCAUAAGCACAUGUUGGUUUUGAGACUCACCAAAAGAAAAAUGGAAGAACAUUCGAGGAAACUUGAACUUUGACAAAUUGGUCUUGAGUCUCCUCUUCUUGAAGUUGAAGCUCCAACCCUUCCUGAACUUGAAGCAGGUCCCCUUCCAGAACUCAGAGCCUUUUCAUUUCUUGAACUUGAAGCUGUGCCCAUUCCUGGACAAAUACCCAGUGCCAUCUUGUGAAGUUGAACCUCUACCGCUUUUUGAACUCAAACCCGUGCCCUUUCCUGAACUGAAAGUUGUGUCCUUUCCUGAACGUGAGCCUCUAUUUCAUCCUGAACUCAAAGUCCUGCCCCUUCCUGAAUCCACGUCUGUUCUGUCUUGGGAACUUGAACCUGUGUUCCUUCCCGUUCUGAAUGCCAUGCUCUUUCCUUAAUUUGAAGCCAUGCCUCUUCCUGAACUCAAGGCCAUUUCUGGAACUCAAACCUCUACCCCUUCCUGAACUUGUCGCCAUGUCCUCUCCUAGACUUGAAGCUAUGCCCUUUCCUCUGCUUUCAUUACCUAGACACUUCCCUGAGCUCGAAGAACCUCUAGCUCCACCUCCUCUGCCUCUAUUUGCAGUUACUUGGUCAGUCGCGACAAUCCUAUCCAUCUCCAUCUGGACCAUACUAAUCUUCCUGUAAGUAUAUAUAUGUUUGGAUUCUAUUUGCUAGUAACAGGUAUGGAGAACUUCAUUUCAUCCCUUCAUUCUCAAUCUGAUGUGAUCUGCAUUGAAAGUUUAGAGAAGACGAUGACAAUAUUNNNNNNNNNNNNNNNNNNNNNNNNNNNNNNNNNNNNNNNNNNNNNNNNNNNNNNNNNNNNNNNNNNNNNNNNNNNNNNNNNNNNNNNNNNNNNNNNNNNNGCUGAUUUGAAAGCUUUCUUUGAAGCAAGGAUGACAUUGUCCAUCCAAAUUUCUAUAAGGAGCUAAUUGAACCAAUGGAAAAUAUAGAGAUGGUGUUGAAUGUUCGAUAAAAGUUCAGGACCUAAUUGCACCAAUUAAAAAUUCAAGAAUGUCGUCAGAUAUUGGAAAAGGUUCGAAGAUUAAUAGUGUCAUUGUAUCUAGAAAAAGAAACACACAAUCAAACCCACUAGACUACAACUCCGAUUGCUUUUGCUUGUUCUCUCCUGAGGUUGGAUUCUUGUUCCACCAUGGCGUUCCCUCUCCCUCAAGUGUAGCUCAUGAUUCAACGCACUUCUGGAAUUAGUUAACACUCGCCUUAUGUGUUUAUGCCCUAGUGUCUCUUCGCAGCAGGUUAUGUGGUGAAAAGCAAAAAAAUUCGUGACAGUUAACCUACAUGUGGAAAGGUUAACUCUGAACUAUGUCGCAUUAACAUUCUAACACAAAAGGCCAAAAACAUAUCCUAAUUUCAUCAGCAAUAUGAAAAUGGAUUCAUAGGACAUAAACCCAGAAUAUGCAAAAAAUAACACAAAUUCGAUGGAAGAAAAUGUCCGCACCUUGUCUGACUUAUAUCCCAAGUGUGAUGUUUCACCGAGAAUCUUCUCUAUCUAGUUCUUCAAAGAGAUAUGAAAGAAAAUGCCUGAAUCUUUGAUAAACUCCCUGCGCAUUCUUGUAUGUUUACGUGGCACCAAUCUGGUAUAUUUGUGAGAGAUACGUUGAUCAACCUUUUUAAUGACUCGGCACUGUCUGGCUCCCAAGAAUUCCAGGAACUCUAGUUUAUCAAGGCCCCCGGCACUUGUUAAUCCAUCACACUCUUCAGGUUCUUCGAGUUUGACAGCCCAGCUGAUCUUCCUGGAGAUGUGCAGCCACGGCCACUGAUAUAUUCUAAUGAUUCCAGAGCACCCACAGCCACGAAUGAAUAAAGUCAGACGAAUUUCUCGAAUCUCAAGUUGAAGCGGAGUGACCGUGCGGAGCGAGAACAUAUUAAACGGAGAAGACUGGGAGCUCUACAAGGGGUCGGAGGUCUAGUUUAGACAGAGUAAGCUUUUCCACAUGCGAAAGAGAACCCAAUGCUGUAGGCGGUGCAGCAACGAUAGUUGGGUUUGAUGUCUAUGCACAAUCAGAGUCCUGCACGACCCAUAUGAAAUAUAAUAAGAACUACGUCGUACGCCAAAAGUGAAUAUAUGAAUUUCGCUCAAUCUCCAAGAGAAAGAAGGACUUGAAGACGUGCCACAAAGUGUUGUGAUAUCAUGAACAGCUUGAAGAGUAAAUUUGUCCUAGAAUUUGCACCAGAUAAACCCAAAAANNNNNNNNNNNNNNNNNNNNNNNNNNNNNNNNNNNNNNNNNNNNNNNNNNNNNNNNNNNNNNNNNNNNNNNNNNNNNNNNNNNNNNNNNNNNNNNNNNNNNNNNNNNNNNNNNNNNNNNNNNNNNNNNNNNNNNNNNNNNNNNNNNNNNNNNNNNNNNNNNNNNNNNNNNNNNNNNNNNNNNNNNNNNNNNNNNNNNNNNNNNNNNNNNNNNNNNNNNNNNNNNNNNNNNNNNNNNNNNNNNNNNNNNNNNNNNNNNNNNNNNNNNNNNNNNNNNNNNNNNNNNNNNNNNNNNNNNNNNNNNNNNNNNNNNNNNNNNNNNNNNNNNNNNNNNNNNNNNNNNNNNNNNNNNNNNNNNNNNNNNNNNNNNNNNNNNNNNNNNNNNNNNNNNNNNNNNNNNNNNNNNNNNNNNNNNNNNNNNNNNNNNNNNNNNNNNNNNNNNNNNNNNNNNNNNNGUAAAUCAUAAUACAUAUAAACUCAAUUAUUCUGCAUUUUGUAACUACAAAAGUGUAUUAUUUUCUAAUUUUCGAAUGAAAAUUCCAUAACCAUGGGACAUAUUGUUUCAAAUCAUUUUAUGCAAGUUGUCGGUUGUUUUAUACUUUCUUAAUCUAAAGUCAUAUGCUUCAAAAUUAAUUGGUGUCCCUUUAAAUUGCACUUUUUAGUGAAAUAACAUGUUCACUUGUAUAAAAGUUACGUUGUGACAUGACAUAAGACAAUUUGCUCAAGCAACAUGUGCUUUAAUUUACUUUGAAAUAAUCAUGUACCAUGCAAAAAUUAUGAAUCCGCGUGGUGGUAAUAUGCUAUAGUACUAAAAACGCAUAGUCGACUAGUCAGGCCCACCAGUGGCUAAAAAUAGAAAACUAGUCAAGCCCACUGCAAAUGCAUGCACCGGCAAAACAACAAAUAAAUGUGUAAAACAGCUAAUGCUUAAUCAGGUGGUUAUAUUAGCUCUAAAUUAAAUUGCAUGAACAGUCUAAUAGAAUUAAUAAAGAAAGAAGCCAAACAAACACUCGAAUUUUUUUACUCAAGAGGCCAACAAUAAAUUCAUAGGAGAUGGAUCAUCAUGAUUUCAAACAUAUUUACCACAAAGUAUCUGUCCCUUGUUCAUCACUCAUUUUCACAUGUGACGACUCGUGUCAGAAUCUAUUGAGUUCUUUUUCUCUUCUUUCGUACAGUUAUGAUCAAAUCAAUGGACAUUAAUUUCUCCACAACUCAUUGAUGCAACAAUCGAAUCAAACAAUCCAUAUUUACUACUAUUAUAUGUAUAAUUUCAAAUGACUUUACCAGCAAUAUAAAGAACCAAAACUUUCCAACAGCAAUGAGGCAAGUUGAGAUAAAAGAGGAAAAGAAAACGUGCAACCUAAGUAAUUGAAGUAUAACAGAAGAUGGGAACCUCAAAAGAGAGGGGAAAGAUUGCUUUAGGAACUGCCAAUAUCCAACAAAAAAAAAGGAAGUAGAGAUGGAUGGCUAAUGUAAGGAAACAAAUCAGCCACCUAAGAAAAUUACGGUGCAACAAAAAAAUGGCAACUUUCAAAAGGGCAGAUAUUGUGUGGCUAAAGAAAGGAGGAUAUUUGGCUAUAAAAGGAGUUAAAUCAAAGUCCCACACAUUAAUAAAGAACAUGUCGCACCUUGCACGGAAAAGUCCCAUCUAUGUAACUCUUCAAGGACACUCUCUCAGUCAUUUCGCCAGAAUCUCCGAUGAAGUCUCCACACUCCUGUAUAGUGACUAGGCAAUCAUAUGGUAUAUACGUGCAAGAUGCAUUAAUCAAACGGCUUAAUGACCAGCAUCCCUGGACCUGCAAGGAUUUUAGAGACUCGAGCUCAUCUAAGCCCUCAAUACAUAGAAGUUCUUUGCACCAAUCGAUUCUCAAUCUCUCCAGGUUCUUCAAGUAUUGUAACCCACCUAUUCUUCUCAGAGAUUCACAAAUGGAAAUGCUCAAGUGUUCCAAUGAUUCCAGAAGCCCCACAACUUUUAUAUUAACUAGCUUUGGACAAUGUGUCACCUCCACAUCCCGUAGUUUCGUUAGUUCCAAAUGAAUGGAAAACCUCUUAAGCAUUUGACAAUUUCGGAUAGCUAUCUUCUCCAGUCGUGGAAGUCCAUCUAGAAGAAUGUCUUCCACUUUACACAGAUUAAUCCGUAAAUUUGACAAAUUUCUGAAUCUCGAGUGGGAGGACGGAAGCUGCACGAGGGAUUUUAGGUCUAGGUUUACUAAUUCAAGAAAUUCCAUAUGAGAAAGAGAAGCCAUUUCUGGAGGCACAGGGACAUUUAGCAGAUUUAAAUUCAAACUUUUCAGUCUAGAUAACCUCCCAAUCCACCAUAAAUUGCAUCCUGUGAUUAGGUUUGAUCUCUCUGUACUCGUAGAUUCAUCACUUAGUUGCAAUGUAACCAAAUUAAUAAGGUUUGACAGAUUAGGGACUACGCGUAAUGAUUUAGAUAUAAGAAGUAGACAAGUCAAACUUGUGGGAAGCUCUGGCAAUUCUUGAAUUGUAUGACAAAAUGAUAAAUUGAGUGUUUCAAGGUGACGAAGAAUGUUGAUUGCCCUUGGAAUUCCAUAAAUAUGGCUCCUUUCUAAAUUUAGGAUUCUUAAAGACGACAAUUCUCCAAUUUCAAUAGGAAUUUCACAUCUCAUUCGAUAAUGCAUAGAGAGAGUCAGCUCUUCAAGAUUUACUAAAGUUCUGAUGCUACUAAAAAACUGCUGAACAUGAAUAGUCUUAUCAUUCAUUCUUGCAAAACGCAAGAUGCGUAAUGAUUUAUACUUUUCAAUAGAAUUGGGAAGUUCACUUAUCAUCGUACCAGAUAAGUCUAACUCUAUCAAUGAGGUUAAAUUCCCAAGUGAGCUCGGAAGCUCUCUCAACCCGUGACAACCACGCAAUGAGAAGCGCUUAAGAUUCACUAGUGCCCCCACUUCUUCAGGCAAAUUCGUAAGACCCUUGCAAAAUACAAUCUUUAACUUAAUCAACGACUGUAGACCUCCAAUGAAGCUUUCAAUUCGCUUCAGAUGACAAUAUGCAAGAGUCAACCUCUCUAAACGCGAGCAUGCAGAGAAGUCUGGAAUUGUCGUUAUGUGAUGACAACUCUUAAGAGAUAGAACUUUCAAAUUCUGUGCCCUCUGUAAAAAUGAAUGGCAUGUCAAGUGUAAGAACCAAUGCAUAGAAACACUAGGGCCAUUAGACUAGAAAUAAAUUAUGUAGUUUACCUUGAUCAAGUCCCAUGCAUUUGAAUCAUUUUCGAAGUAAUUUUCGCCAAGUUUAAAAACGACAAGAUGAUCCAAAUACAUGUUGUUUGCCCUAAAAUCGUGAAGAGGAGGCUGGCAAGAAAUCCAUCUCAACUUUGACCAACACUUUGCGAAGAACCCAGCAUCCCUAGAAUCAGCAAAAGAAGGCUGCCAAGAAAUCCAUCUCAACUUUGAACAACACUUUGCGAAGAACCCAGCAUCCCUAGAAUCAGCAAAAGAAGGCUGCCAAGAAAUCCAUCUCAACUUUGAACGACACUUUGUGAAGUCCCUAGCAUCCCAAGAAUUAGCAAAAGAAGGCUGCCAAGAAAUCCAUCUCAACUUUGAAAGACACUUUGUGAAGUCCCCAACAAACGUACCAUUGCAUAACCUAAGGAAUCUUAGGUAUGGUAACCUUUCAAACUCUCUAUUUGUGAUCUCCACGAAGCCAUGCCGUUCAUCUAUCUCAAGUGCUUGAACCUGAUCCUUCCUCUGCAAGUGAAAUUUUGCAAUUUUGUGAAGAAGUUCAUCAACUUACAACCACUAUGUUUUAUAAAUUGAAUGGGAACGAAAAAAAUGAUAAGCAUCCUAAAUCAAAUAGAAUCUUUUAUCCUAGAAUAUACAACUUCUAUUUAAAAAUUGGAAGUUUCUUACUUACUUCUUUGGUUUUAAUGAUUUCAAGGGCCUCUUUUGCAAUCCAUAUCCUACUUUGCUUUCCAUGAUCACUUGGACUUUCUUGACGGACAAUUUGCCUUCCCAUGUCUAUUAGUUGAUCAUGCAUCCAGAACUUCUUGUUGUCCAAUAUCUUUAUCAAGCACCUAUUGGUAAGGACAUCAAUUCCUCUUUCGGGAUAAAAUCCACAACUGGCCCACAUGUAAAUUGCAUUGGUCUUUUUCUUAUUGAAAAAGAAGCAUGCUAUAUCAAGAAAAAUUUGUUGCUGAUGUUCAUUUAGGUCAUCAUAGCUAAUCCUCAACUUCUUUAGAAUCUGUUCCUCAGGUACAUUCCUUAACUUGAUCAUGGUCUCUUCCCAAAAUGCUUUGUCUUUCCCAUUAAGUAACGAACCUAUCACUUUCACAGCCAAAGGAAGCCCUCCCGUACUUGAGACAAUCUCAUUGGAAAGCGCACAAUAACCAUUCGAAGGAAAGUCUAUACCAAAGGCAUGCCAACAAAAAAGUUCAAGUGCAAGAGCAUCAUCCAUCUUAAGCAUCUCAUACAAAAUAAUUUCACCUUCAAAUCCCUUAUCUUGCAAAAUAGUCUUGUUUCUCGUUGUAAUAAUUAUUCUAGAUCCUGAAUGCAAUGACUUGUUUCCUAUUAGUUUCUUAAUGUGGUCUUUAUCAUCGACGUCAUCUAGAACCACAAGGACCUUCUUAGUGUUGAGUAUUUCUCCAAUUUUCCUCGUUCCUUGUUCACUAUCCUUCACUCCUUCUGCAUAUCUAGAACAAACAAUGUCAGACAGUAGUUUUUUCUGCAAUUGAACUGUGCCGUCCUUGGUCAACAUGCUUUCUUGAACGUCCUCAAGGAAGCUACAACACUUUCCAAAGUGGGAAGUUAGUUCAUUGAAGACAACUUUGGCAACAGUUGUUUUACCAAUGCCACCCAUUCCAUAAAUUCCAAUGAGCCGCACAUCGCGAUGGUUGACAUCUAAUAACUCUGUCAAGUGCUUUACUUGAUUGUCAAGUCCGACUAAAUGUUCAGGCACUAAUCUUUGUUUCAGCUUCAGUUUCUCCAAAACCCUUUCGACAACCAAUUUGACAAUCGUUGCUUGGCUGCCAUGUACAAAAGCGCUUGCAUAAGUUGACUAGAUCUACCCAUGCAUCACACUUCGGAUUGUCAAAACUUUAACUUGAAUAAAUUGAAGCACAUCAAGGACGAGAUCUAAGUACAUCGAAUAAUUAGUAUGGGCUAAUUUAGCAGGAUUCACUUGAUAUGUUUUUCAUAUGUAGGUUAUAGAAAUGUCUGAAGACUAUAGUACUACCUUACGCAGUAGCCAAAGUAACCAAGUGGUGGAUACUACACUGUGCAUCAACAAAAAUUUGACAUUUAUAGCUAAGCCUAGAGAAACUUUCAGCACUUGUAACAGGAGAAUCAUGAAGAGAAAUGCAGCGAUGUACAUUGAAGAUUGUAGUUUGCUCUCGCUUCCAUUGAAUAUUGAGACAGGGUUUUGCUUCAACAAAUCUUAGUUUCCUUGUGUAAUCAUAGACAAAGCAGAGGAUGUGAAGUUGAAUGAGAGCAACGCUGGAGGUAGUUUUCAAUACUUCCCGUUACAAAAAGAAUAAAAGAAAUCAUUCAACAGGAAACAACAUAUUCCAUACAACAAAAAGAAAAGAAGAAAUAGGUAAGAGUCUUUAAAAGAGUAAAUUACCCUUCAUCCUUUUUUACGUUCCAUCCCUUGAUUUCAUCUACCUCUGCAAGAGCCUUUCUCCACUCCUUGACUUCUACAGGAAAAUUCUUCUCAUGUUCAAGUAAAGCAUUGUUAUAUCGUUGAGUCUUAAGCUUAACGUCCUCAGGUUCCACAUCGAGAAAAAUGGGAAGGAUACUUUUCUGACUUUCUGACUUAGACACAUUUUUUACUAUGUGCGCAAGCUCACGGAGGCACCAUUUGCUGGAUGCAUAAGUUUGAGAGAAGAUGGGUAUGUAGAUCUUAGAGUUGUCGAUAGCAUGUAAAAGGUUCCCACCAAUCACUUCGCCGAUGCAGAGUUCUUCUUCGUCCCUAAAUACGUGGACUCCCGCAUCUACCAAUCCCUGGUAGAGGAAGUCCGUGAACACAUGACGAGUGUCAGGUCCUCUGAAAUUCAGAAACACUUGAUACUCGCCCCCUGAUGCUUGCGCGGCGUUACUACUCGAUCCAGCCUCCGAGUUCGCCAUAGCUAGGAAGCUUAUCACUUCCGGAUCUCUCUCUCCCCUGUAGAGAAAAGAAGUUGGUGCGGCAUGGCCUAGCUUAAGAAAUGAGCGGAGGCUUUCGAGGCAAGUGAUAAAAAAGUAGACACCAGGGAAGGUGCGCAAGACUUUUUUAACAAGUUUCCAAAUUUAAAAAAGACUCAUCGGGAGACCAUAAAGACCACCAAUAAUUAAAAAAAAAUCCCUUUUUCUUUUCCCCUUAAUUAAAGCAUCCAAUCCCCAAACUGCCGAGAAAUCUCCAAUCAUGUCUAUAACCUUUUUUGGUUCGAAAAAAAAAGUAUAUUAUUUAGAAACUUAAUAGAACGAUCAUUUUAAAAAAAAAAUUAUGGGGCAAUUAUAAUGUAUAAAAAAUUGUUUUCAAAUUAAAAAAAUUAGAAAUCUGGAAAAAAAAAGUAAUCUAAAAAAUUUGUUUCUAAACGUCUUUUCUUUCAUAAAUACACUUCAAAUUAAAAGUGCGCCUAUAUUUUAGCACUUAAAGCCGCUUACAAAUUGCAUACAUAUAUAUGUAUAUGGAUGUUGCAUUAUUUAGAAAAAAGUUGGGCCAAAUUACCUGCGGCCAACUUUGAGCCCAACCUCGGAGCCUACUUCCGGCGUCGCCGCCGGCAGAGUUGUCCGCGCUGCGUCUAGGCUGACACCGCUGCGCGUCCAGGCCGAGCCGCGCCUCCGUGUCCAAGACGGAACGCUUCAGAUCUGUAGACGAGAAGAAGAGGAAGGAGCUGUCAUCGCAAGUGACGAGCCGUUCACAGAUCUGAGAGCUCUGAUCCUCGCUAGCAAAGUCGGCGGCGCCUUGUUACUCACGCCGACGUCCGAGGGGUGGGCGUGGAGGUUGGAGCUCAGAUCUGCGGGGAGAGGCCAUCCGUGGCUGAACACCGUUUUGCGUCUCUAGGUCUGUGGACUAGCAGCUCUAUCGGCCAAGGCACUGCCACCGGGACGAAGGAGGGGUGGACGCAGCAGUCCGCCGUCGCUCAACAGCCAGACCUGGAUUCUAUUGCCGGGCCAAGUGGUGGGCGAAGAGAGAGGGAGAGAGUGAGUGAGAGAUAUCAUAUUCUUCCUUUUUUAUAAAACCCUUCGUCCUUCCUUUUUUUUUUUUUUUGCCUUUUUUUUUUUUUGAAAAAAGGUCUGUUUCUCCAUCUAAAACAAUCUUUAAUGCACUUAUUUGUUCUCGUAGUACGGAUUACGAUAUGGAGAAAUUCUGCUUAUAGUUUGGGAAUUUUGGCAACCCUGAACUUAGUGGAUUCCUUUCCCCUUUUUUUUAUUUAAACUUUAAAUUUUAGUAUGCUUCAAAUGAAUGUCUCGUCUAUUAGUUUCAUUUUGUUCUUUUGGUAAAUCCCAUUUGUUUCGUUUAGAUAUAAGAAAUAACAUUUACUUUUGUAUAGUUCUCGCUAAGAGUGAGUAUUCUUUAGAUUGAUGGUUCUAUAGAUCCACCCAAAAAAAGAAGUAAUUCCAAAAAAUUGGAACUGAGAAUUGGCCGUUAGUUCCACAGAUCUGCCCGAGAAUUGAAUCACUAGUCCGGUCCAAAUUCUGAGUAGAUCCAUGGAAUCGAUUCCAUCAAGCUUCACGCAUUCAAUGCAACAUUUUCUAAUAAACAAAGUAAAACCAAAAACAAAGACCUUCCCUAUUCUUAAUUGCAAGAUUAGUAAAAAGAUUUGACUUAUAUUAAAAAUUGAGAGUUAAUGCCGUGAGUCGAUGGGUGUUGAGCUUAAUAGUCAAGGUUGCGAGUGAGAGAUAGAGAGACGAUUCAUAUGACAUUUCUCACAAUCUAAAUAAUCUUUGGAUAAUAUCAUGGAAAAACUCAAAAUGAUGUCAACAUGACAAAUUUAAUAUAAAUUAAUUUUUUUACUACUAAAAACCCCAAAUUAAUACGCACUUGGCAAGUUUUACCUCAAUCUAUUUUUUUGAUCAACAAAAACUCCCAUAGGUAUAUUUGUGAUAAAUUUAUCUUUCGUUAAUCUUUAUUAAAUUAGAUUAAUAUUACAAAAGCCACAAAUCAGGAUAGGGGAUAAAAUUAUAAACCGGUAUACCAAUUCGUCAAUUACCACAUGUUAUUUAAUUCAACAAUUUGAUGAUAAAAGUUAACUUAAAUUGACGAAAUUUUAAUUUGUCACGGGUGUGUAACAGUUUAGGAUUUUGUAAUAUUAAUCAUAAUAUUUAAUGCACAUUUUAUGGAUUAUGAUAUAGGGUUUACUAGUUUGGGAUUUCUUAUACUCCUUUACUGUUAUAUGUGUUCUUUUAUGUUGUGUCCGGACUCUUCGAGCACCAACUAAUUUCCAUCAUGUUAAUUUAUUCCUUCACAUGUUUAGAAAAAUGUGAAGAAGUGUAUUUUUUUUUUUUUUGGGCGGAGUAAAGGAGUUUAUAUGAGCAUGUUUAAUACCAACCACCUAUAAAAAUAAAUGUGUUUUGAACAUUUUCAGCAUUUUCCGAUUUACACUUACCUAUGUAGAUGCCACAAUCACAAGGAUUCAUUUCUCAAAUCGAUCACCCCUUUUCUGUCAUGAUAGAGUUAUCCAAAUUGGUUUUUUGGACGGGACGAAUAGAAAGAAAGUUAACGAUUGAAAUCGAUAGAAAAAAAAAGAGAUAGGUCGUGUUUUGGUUACUAGAGAUGAAACUUUUCCUUAUUAUUAUUGUUGUUGUUGUUGUUGUUGUUGUUGUUGUUGUUGUUGUUGUUGUUGUUAAUGUUGUUGUUGUUAUUGUUGUUAUUAUUAUUAUUACUAUUAUUACUAUUACUAUUAUUAUUGUCCUUCCAAUUAAUUAGUAGAGUGGUGUCUUUUGAUCAGGAGUUGUAUUUAUAGUAAUAUUUUGUGCAUUCGUGCAAGUGUUGCAUCAUUUUAUAAGACAUUAAUAUAUGUGUAAUUAAUAUUUUUUUCAAUUUACUAUUAAAUGAAUAACUAUUUGAAAAUCUUUUAUAUUUAAGUCACAUUCGCCCAGACGCGUUUUAGAUUUUAUCAAAAUUCUAGUUGACUUCUUCUCUGUUGCCAUGAGUUUAAGGAGAUGUUAGGAAUAAUUAGGAUAUUCUUUAUAUAUUCUUUAAUUGUGCAUAUCUAUAAUCGAUUGUAAUUAAUAUUGUGAUGUCCUAUUACAUUAGAUGAUCAAUUGUGAUGGACACGGAAAUUUACAAUUCUCUUUUGUUCUUAUCUUUGAGUAUACAAAAUUUAGAAUAACCGGCAUCGUACUUCCUGAAAAUCAACGUUUCAAAGCACAUAUAACAUAGUUGAAAACUACUAUUGAAUAUCAACCAAAUAAAAGAUAUGUGUUGCAUUAUGAUAUCUCGAGAAAUAGGAUAUAGUUAUUCCGAUAUACAAUAUUGCUUAAGUUGGUAUCAAUGAUUACUUUUAAAUUGAAAUUUUUAGUCUCCUUGGAAGACCAUAAAGGCAAAUCUGCCGCCAUUUAGAUAAAUUUUAAUUUUUUUCUUUUUUGGCUUGAUUAGAUAUGUGCAACCCCACAAGUCCAAGGUUGCAUUUCCUGGAAAUGAAUCAAGGUCCCACCAUCUUAGAAUCAUAUAUAACGUGCUAUAGACGACUGUAGAGUUAAAUAACUUCAUGGGCAGCCAUUGUUGACCUUAUGUUUGGCAAAGGACAUCAAGGUGAUGGAGGGAAGGAACAUGAGGAAUUCGACAUAUAUUAUGUUGUAUUAUCCCAAUUAACUAGAGCACAUAAAGUCACACAAACUCGGCAUUUUUUUAUGUGUAGUAGAUUUAAUUUUUAAGAUGGCAGGAUAUCAAUUGAAGAUUUUGUUAUUAUUAGAUUAAUAAUAAAUUAUUUAUGCACAUAAUUAAUUCAGCCACAUAGAUUGCGAGAUGCAAUUCAGUUCACACCCAAUAAUGAGCUGAAAAUCCCCUCGAUACUGAUGGACACACUGCAAUUGUCAUGUCAGUGCGGGAAUCUUUCUCAGAAAAUUAAGAGAAAUUUGUUUCUGGUCUGGUCUAGGGUAGAAACAAAGUCUGGACACCUCAUUGAACUUUGAUUAUAAAGUGUGGAGUUUAUCUCUUUAUGCACUUCCAGCACGUUCUGCCUUUUGCACGUAUUUGCAAGUUUUUGCACGUGCUGUGGAUUGCUUUUCACAUUAAUCUCAUUUACACUCCGUCACUCUAUCUUACCUCCUCUGUUGAAGAGGUCAAAAACACAAAACGGAUUGGCUACUUUGGACCGACGUAAUUGAACUGUCAUCGACCUGGGUCACACUCAAUCGCGCAAGCAAUGGACUAUUUAUAAACUUAAAAACGUAGUGGUCAUAGCUGAAAUUUCCAUGAUGGCGCCUCACCGGCCAACGCCAAUGUUAACCAACUCUUUUAACUGUAAUGUUUCCACAGGUUCUUGGGCUAGCUUUUUAUUUUAUUUUUUUCAUGGGGAAAAAAGAAUGUUUUUUUUUUUCUAAUUGGAGAAAGUGACAUUUAUUACGUAUGCAUAUGUAAUGGAUCUUGUCAUUUGACCGAGCAUAUUCAAUUGGACUAGGAUGGGGCUCCAUGGUGGCUAGUGGUCUAAUUUUUCAGAAUUGUCAAAGCUCAGUCCUCCCAACGAAAACAGAUAUUAAAGAUGAGGACCUAAAUUUCACGACACAGAGAAGAUGUUAUUCAGGGUUAGUGGAUUGGGUCCAAAGAGGUUUUUUUUUCUUUUCUUCUUUUUUCUGGGGCAAUCUGAACUGAUAUCAUUUGUUAAAUAGACAAGACGUUGAUAGUUCAAAAGUCACAAGCAGGCUUGAUCCUCAGAUAGUAUGGACAUGUCUAUUCAGCCUGUUGAACUGCCAAGCCAAUUCUUUUUGAUCUAAUAAUCCGUAGUAAGCAUUCUUGGGAACUACCGCAACAUUGUCAUUCUUACUUGGCAUCUACUUUUACUUAGAAGGAUCGAUUGAUAUUCUUCAUUGACCCGGCUUACCACAAUUAUAAAGAUUGAUGCCUUUUCUUGAUUCGGAUCUUACCUUGGAUCUAUCAAUGUUGUGGGAGUGUCGAAAUUUACUUCUUCCUCUAUGCUUGAGACAACAAGUUGUGGUUUAAAUAAGUUGGACACUUUUCUCCCAUACCUCAUACUCAAGCAAGCCAGAUUUCGCCGCACCCACCUUUGCUUUUCCGUUAGUGAUGAUGAGAUGAGAGUUCUCACCAAUAUCCCAUAACUAUAGGGAAGCAAACUAACGAAGAACAAUGCUUGUAGCUCAUCAUUUUUCAAGCUUUGCAACUCAUUCAAGAGAUCCACCAUCGGAGUGCCCUCUUGAUAUUUCAGAGCAACAAGCUUCUCGAUAACGUUAAGCUUGUUAUUUGACGGUUUCCUCUCAUACAACACUCAGAGUUUUCCCCAAGGUUUUUUUUUUUUUUUUUUUUUUUUUUUUUUUUUUUUUUUUUUUUUUCUGAUGGCCUUCUCAUUCUCCACACGGUGAUACCCCAUUGUCAUCCAACUAUUUCCUAACUAUUUCCUAAUGAGACCUACACGUUGCCUAUUUAGCAACCAUCAUUGUCGAUCAGUGUAGUUAGGCUUAGCCUUGUCACUUUAUAUUGGACCAUGCAUUUCCUUGCAAUAAAGAAAAUCGAGAAUCUUGCCUUUCCAUGUUCUUUAGUUGGCAUUAUGAAGGCUGACACCUCCAUACUUCAGUCUUCACCUAGCAGUAGUCACAAACACCUAGUGUUCACCAAACCUUGUAACACUCUCCGUAAUGCACAAUGCGGAGCCCUGGGAUUUAUCUAAUUCUGCAACAUUGUGACAUUCUUUUUUGCGCAGUAACUAAGAAGUACUUGUCGAAUGCAGAAAGGAUCGGAAUCCUAGAAAGAGUAUUCAAAGGCAGUGCAAGUGCAACCGAACGUUAAGCUUGAAAUAGAGCUGGGAGAGUCAUGCUUGAGCAUAGAGAAUGGGAUCACUUGAUUUUGCAAGUUAUAAAGAGUUUCGUUAAGCUUUCCUGCUCGACUCUAAUAUCGGUUUUAGCUGUAUAUUUUCUGUAGUAAUUUCCAACUGUAAGUCCGUUGUACAAUUGUCUGGCAGACGCUAACACAGCUGAAAUUAGUCUUGCAAUGGUAGCCAUCCGUCUCCAGUAAACAUUAAAGUUGCUGAGUACUUGAAUGUCUGUUUACAUUUGAGGAAGACGAUUUUCCAUUCUUGAAGUAAAUAGACCAUUUAAAAAAGGCCAAUUAGGAAGGAUCACUCACCAACAGUGGCAGUGCUUGAGAAUUAGAAGCAGAGACGCCAUUUGCUUUGGGUUGGAUGUCUUUGAUCUCACUUUUCAUCCAUCCUCUGUCGUUUUUUUUAGGUCAUAUGGCAGUCGUGCAAUCUUUCUCUUCCAUCACUCAUUUUCUUAUGGCUCAUCGAUUACUCGUUCUCUUCAAAGGGACAUCAACUUUUCCAUCCUUACAUAUGCGGGUGAGGUCACUUAUCCAUAUUACGACACAAAACAAUGAUCAAACCUUGGUAUGGUUCCAAUCCAUGUGUCUCUAAUUCUGUAGAGUUGUUGCUUUUGAUUGAUCCCUUCUAAGUUCCAAUGAAAUCUUAUGAUUAUUGCAAUAGGCUGGAUGGCUAUGAGGAGAUUGCAACUGGUCCAGAGGAAGAUGUACAAUCUCCUCGUUCUAGCUUCUUCCUGGCCCGAUGCAUGUAGAAUUUGAUGCAUUUGUUCAUUAACUGGUUUUUGGGUGAGCAUCAUUCUGUGAGUUAGUCAUCGUAAAGCAAAUUCUUGAGGGAAUACGACAGUUUCUAUAUAUUGCUGGGACUUGAAAUUGGGCUCUGUGAGGCGUGUUCGAGCAUAGUGCCUGUGACAACUUGAUUUUGCUAGCUACAGAGAGUUUAAUUAAGCUUUUGUGCUCGACUCUACUGUCGGUUUUAGCUGCAUAUCUUCCGAACUAAUUUCAGGGCAAAUUCACAACUGCAAGUCCGUUGUAUGAUUGUCUUGCAAACACAAACACAGCUGAUAUCAGCCCUGCAAUGGUAGCCAUCCAAUGAUAGUAACUAUUAAAAUUGCUGAGCACUUGGAUAUCUGUUUACGCACGAGAAAGACAAUUCUCCAUUCUUGAAGUAAAUAGACAUUUGAAAAAGGCUAAUUCCGAAGGAUCACACACUAGCAAUGGCAGUGCUUAAGCAUUUGACACAGAGACGUCAUUGGCUGCUUCAUUCAUCCUACCGGUCUAGCUAUUCAUGCUCCCUGCCCAAGAUAUAAAUGUGGAGGAAGUUGUGGCUUUCUUGUUGGGUUGAUGCAAAAAUCAGUCAAUGGCCAAGGAGUAUUUCCAAAGUCUUCAGGGUGCAAUGUUGAAGAAGAAACGGUGUCAACCCAUCAUGAGGAUGAUGGUGGUUCGAUGGAAGUCAUAAUCAUAGCUAUCAACGAACAACGGAAACCUGUGAUACAAGUUAAAGAAAGGUAAUUCCAGAUUGAAGACAAUAUUAGUUUUGCUGAGUGUUCCCAGUUAUUUCAGCUCAUAUGUGUCAUAGACUAUGUUAAUAGACAUUGUUUUGUGGUUGGGCAGGUAUGAACAGUUGUAAUACAUAUUUUAAUCAUGGACAUGUUUUGCAUAAAUGAAAUUCAUUGAGCAUUUUGUACAUAGUUGCUGGACUUGCAUGCAUGUCGACUUGCAGGUUCCUCUAUGUCAUACCAGAUUGAGCCUAAGUUGGAAACUGGUAUAAUGGAGCUUGGACUGCAAUAAAAAUGAGAGUAUUUUGCACAAAUUACUGGGCUUGCAGCAGCAUGUGUUCUCUAGACAGUCUAGUCUCACAUCAUCAAAUAUGGUAUAACUAGGAGGAUUAGGCCAAGCGAGCAAUGUUGUGUUCAGCAAUGAGACAGAGGAAGCACAAAACACAUUUCACUGCAAUAAGACAGGGAUCACAAAGAUAGUCAUGUUAGUGGCUAAAGCCACGCAUUUGCAAGCAAUAAUACAUCACAACUAUAUUAUCAAUCCAACCAUACUAGUUCACUGAACCUAAAAUCCCCCAACGCGCCCCAACCCCCACCCCCCCAACCAAAAACAAGAAAAAGCCACAACACUUCAUUGAUCCCACAAUCCAGGUUAAGCACUCUAAGUGACCAUCAAUCUAUAUGCACGACAUCAGCUGUCCCUCCGGUUGCGCCUUUCAUAAGCCUGGCACUUCUUCUUAUAGGAUUGGCUUGCUUGCUGUCAUUUCUUUUCCUUUUUCUGGAUGGGCCUACUUCUUCAACGGGAAGUGCUGCUUCUUCGACCAGUGGUUGUAUUUUUGCCACUUGUCUUCUUGUAACAUGCUGGGGAAUGCCACUCCGUUGGCCACAAGUCGAGUUCUUUGUCGUGGUGUCGGUGGGCUGCCUCUUACCCUGUUUAGCACUUGUACUAUUAAGCUGACUUGACUAGAUUUCACGAAGAACCAAAAAAGCCAGUAAAAACUGAAACUCAAACAAAACCACUGCUUAUAGUCCCAUCCACAUGCAUCAAUAUAGUCUCUCUAGCAGCAUUAGCAAACACGGAUAAAUUAUAAAAAAGACAACGGCAACAUUCUUGGAGAGAUCACAAUGAAAUAUCUAGUUUUAGACUGUUUUUUGCCUUCUUCUCCUGGUUUUUGCUUUAAAAAAAAAUGAAGACUGUUGACUUCAAUGUACACCUAACAUGAGCGCUCUGUGUCGUUUCUGCUGCAAAAUCUUGAGAUAGCUAAUCUCUACUCUGGACUUUGAUUUCGUUGAGUGGAAAUUGGGGAUUGUGAUGGCAAACUAGGGUCCAAUUCGAGGAAAUUGAGGUUUUCAACAAAUUGGGGGAGUUGAUUUGGGGAUUUUUAUGGCUUUAGUCAAUUCUUUUGUCGAUAUGUCUCAUGUUCUGUUUCUGUUUCUAACUUUAAUUCCAUUGUUUUAGUGAACUUAAUCCUUCAUCUUAUGUUCACUUAAAUAACAAUAAUCUGCUCUCUUGUAAUAAUUUUAUGUACUUCACGUGCUGCUAUCUUUUAAUUGUUAGAUAUUUAUUUCAAUUAUAAUACUGAUAUAAAUUCAAUGUUUUGCAUUUUGGAACUAAAAAAAAAGGUUUGAUUUUCUACUUUUCGUAUUCGUAUGAAAAUUCCCUAACCACGGGAAACAUUGUUUUAAAUCAGUGUAAGAAAGUCUGUAUGUUGUUGUAUUCUAUCCAAAUGUAAAAUAAUAUGCUUCAAAAUCAAUUAGUGUCUCUUUUCGUCCAUAAGUUGCAUUUAUUAGUGAAAUAAUUUAUUUGCUCAUAUAAAAGUUACAUCCUGAUAUAAUAUAUGACUAUUUGUUCAAGCAAUAUGCGCUUCAAUUUACUUUGAAAUAAUCAUGUACUAUAAAAAGAUGACAAUCCUACGUGUUUGUGAUUUGCAGUGGUGCUAAAAAUGCAUUGACAGCUACUCAAGCCCACUGGUAGCCGAAAAUACAAAGCGAGUCGAGCCCACUAUAUAUGCAUGCACCAGCAAAGCAGUACAUAAAUGUGACUCAUAGUUAUCGCUUAAACUACAAGUGGAUAGAUCAGCUCUGAAUUAAAUUGCAUAAACAUUCCAACAAAAUUAUUAAAGAAAGAGGCGAAACAAACAUUAUACGUAUCUUUACUCAAGAGGCCAACACAACAAAUUCAUAGGAGGUGGAUCAUCAUAAUAUCAAACAUAUAUACCGCAAAUUAACUACCCUUCGAUCAUUACUUAUGAUGGAAGUAGUAUUAUAACGCCGGUGUAGAUAAAACUUUCUGGUAGUUGCUUCUCUGCUCUUUAUUUGAAGAUUGUAACUACUCCCUUUCUAUGUGAAUGGACACAUUAGUUAAUUUUCGAAUCAUUAUUUUGUUUUUCUAUAUCCCACAUUCACUGGACAAUCUUGUGGAAACAAGACAUAAAUGCAUUUAACAGAGUAGAAAUUUUUACUCCAGAUAAAAUAAAUAAUCUAGAUAUAAAAAAGUUGAAUCUACAAAUCUGAAAAAUGUAAAGACAUAAAACAUAAAAAACAAAACAUAAUAUCUAUGUACACAUAUACAUAUGACUAUGUGCUCAUUGGUGGCCAAAAAUGGAAAGCUAGUCAAGUCCAUUGUAUGUGCAUGCACUGGCAAAACAACAAAUAAAUGCGUAACACGGUUUUUUAUUAAUCUGCAAGUAAAUGGAUUAGCCCUAUAUUAAAUUGCAUAAAUUAGUCUAACAGGAAUAACAAAGAACAAGGCAAAACAAACAUUACAAUUAUGUUUACUUGAGAGGGAAACAACGAAUUUACAAGAGAUUAAUUAUCAUAAUAUCAACAUAUAUGCCACAACUUAUCUGCCUUCAUUCGCUUUCCCAUGUGGCAACACUUGGUAGAAUCUAAUGAGUUCUUUUUCUUUUUCUUUUUUUAAUUUUCUUUUGUACAACUAUGAAUUGGACAGUAAUUUCUGCAUAGCGCAUUAAUGAGAUAAUUGAAUUAAAUAGUCCAUAAUUACCUUUAUUACAUGCACGAUAUUUUCGUGCAUUAAAUAUGCCUAUUGCAAAACUUAGAAAAGAAAUAGUUGCAAAGGAAUCAUAUAAUGUUUUUGAAAUCGAUAAUUUAUGAUCUAUUAUCUAGCAUGUUAUCUAUGAAAGCAAUUUUGAUUAAUUUAAUAUUUAGAGUGAUUAUAUUAGUUUGCUAGCAAUACUAAAGAACUAAGACUAUCCAACACCCAAAAAGGAAGAAGAGAUGAGUGACUAACUUAACCAAUGACCGUGGAUCUCUAAUGAGCUGCACCUAUCCCACACCAGAAAACAAAGGAAAUAAAUCAGCCACCUAAAAAAUUAUGGUGCAAUAAAAAAAUGGCAACUUUAAAAGGGGCGGAUAUUGUGUCGCUAAAGAAAGGAGGAUGUUUGGCCUAAAAAGGAAGUACACAAAAGUCCCCCAUAUUGAUGAAGAAGAUGCUGCACCUGAAGAAUCAAUUCUUUGUAAAGCUUCAGGGGCCUUCCCAAUAUAUUGUCAAAAUCUAUGAUAUAGUUUCCACAACUUUUGAUAUAGACGAGGCAAUUAUCUGGUAUUUUUGUGCAAGAUGCAUCAAUAAACCUUCCCAAUGACGUGCACCUUUCAACCCUCAAGUGUUCCAGAGACUCUAGCUCAUCAAGGCCCUCAACAUUAGUAAGUACAUGGCAAUCUUGAAUAUUCAACUUCUUCAGGUUCUUCAAGUACAAUAAUCCACUUAUUCUUGUUAGAGAUAUGCACUGAUCAACGCCCAAGAUCUCCAAUGACUCCGAAAGAUCUGCAACUCGUAUCUCAACUAGCUCUUUACAAUUAUAUAAGGUCACUUUUUGUAGCUUCCGUGAUUCCAAAGGAAUGAAUAAUCUCUGAAGCCGCAUACAAUAGGAGAUACUUAAUACUUCCAGUCGUGCAAGUCCCUUGAGUGGAAUGUCUUCCACUUCACAAUCACUGAUCCCCAUUAACAAACACCUCCAAUUGUGGCCGGAGGAUAGAAGCUGCAUGAGGGGUCUUAAGUCUAGGCCUGUCAAACGAAGGACUUCCAAAUGAGUAAGAAAAGCCAACUCUAGAGGUGCAAGGACGUCAGGCAGACCUAACCCUAACUGUUUCAGUUUAGACAAACUCUUAAUCCACCUCAACUUGCAUCCCGUGAGUGGUUUUGAAUUCUCUUGAGCAAAUCUCAGAUUACUUAGUAGCAGUUCCUCCAAACUAGUAAGAUACGACAAAUCAGGGACCGAAAGCAAUGAUUCAGAUUCAAUACGUAGACAGGUCAAAUUUGUGGGAAAUUUCGGCAACUCCUGAAUCUCAUGACAAUUUGUUAAAUCGAGCAUUUGGAGACAAUGAAGCAUGUCGAUUGUCACUGGAAUUCUGCAAAUACCGGUGGAUCUUAAAUUUAGGAUUUUUAAAAGCGACAAUCCUCCAAUUCCAUCAGGAAUUUCACCUUUCAUUCCUUUAUGCCCAGAAAGAUCCAGCUCUUCAAGCUUUACCAACAUGCUGAUGCCACUAGGGAAAUGCCAAGCAUGAUCCUCAGAAGAACGUAUAGCGAAAUGCAAGGUUCGUAAUGAUUUGAACUUUUUAAUGGAGUUAGGAAGUUCCCUUAUCCUCGUACGAAAUAACCUCAACUCUUCUAAUGAGGUUAAAUUUCCAAGUGAGCUUGGGAGCUCUCUUAAUCCAGAACAUCCCCGCAAUGAGAAGCGCUGAAGGUUCCUUAGUGCCCCCACUUCAUCAGGCAAAUCAGUAAGACCCCCACACUCUUCAAUCUCUAACUCAAUUAACGAUUGUAGUUUUCCGAUGAAACUUUCAACUCUCUUCAAACCCUGGCAAUAUGCAAGAGUCAACCUCUUUAAACUCAGGCACUCAGAAAAGUCUGGGAUUCUCGUUAUGCCAUUACACCCCCUAAGAGAUAGAACUUUCAAAGCUUGUGCCCUCUACAAAAAAAGGAUGGCAUGUCAAGUGCAAGAACCAAUGCAUAGUAACACCGAGAUUAGUACACUAGGAUUAAAACAUACAAUUUACCUUGAUCAAGUCCCAUACUUUUGAAUCAUCUUCGAAGCAAUUGUUGGCAAGUUUGAAAACAGCAAGAUGCUCCAAAUACAUAUUGUCUGCCCUCAUAUCAAGCAUCGAAAUAGCCUUCAAAGGACCCUCCAUAGAAAUGCAUUUCACAUUUGAAAAACAAUUUGCAAAGUCCCCAGUAAAAGUUACUGAUUCUAACUUGAGGAAUCUUAGGUUUGGAAACCUUUCAAACACUUCUUUUGUGAUCGCCAAGUUACCAUAACCAUUUAUCUGAAGCGCUUGAACCUUGUCCUUCCUCUGCAAGUGAAAUUUUGCAAUGGUGUGGAGAAGUUAGUAAACUUCCAACCACAAUGUUUUGCAAUCUUGAAUGGAUAGGGAAAAAAUGAUAAACAUCCUAAAUUAAGUAGGAAUCCUUUAUCGUAGGACAUACAACGUCAAUUCGAAAAUUGGACAUUUCUUACUUACCUCUUUGGUCCUUUUAAUUUCAAGGGCUUGUUUGUGGCCAAUCAACAGCCUACUUCGGUUGCCAGGGUCAUUUGGACUUUCUUGAUCGACAAUUCGCCUUCCCAUGUCUCUGAGUUGAUCGUGCAUCCAAAACUUAUCAUCAUCCAAUAUCUUUAUCAAGCACCUACUAAUAAGGACAUGAAUUCCUAUAUUGGGAUAAAAUUCACAAUGAUCCCACAUGUCAAUUGCAUUGGUCUUCUUCUCAUUGAAAAAGAAGCAUGCUAUAUCGAGAAAAAUUUGUUGUUGAUGUUCAUUUAGGUCGUCAUAGCUAAUCCUCAACUUCUUCAGAAUCUCUUCCUCAGGUACAUUCCUUAACUUGAUCUUAGUCUCUUUCCAAAAUGCUUUGUCUUUUCCUUUAAGUAACGAACCUAUCACUUCAACAGCCAAAGGAAGCCCUCCUGUCCUUAAGAUAAUCUCACUGGAAAGCACAUGAUAAUCAUCCGAAGGAAAGUUUUUUCCAAAGGCAUGCCGACAAAAAAGCUCAAGUGCAAGAGCAUCAUCCAUCUUAAGCAUCUCAUAUGGUAUAAUUUCAUCUUUAAAUUCCUGACCUUGCAAAAUAGCCUCGUUUCUCGUUGUAAUAAUUAUUCUAGAUCCUAAAUGUAAUGAAUUGUUUCCUAUUAGUCUCUUAAUAUGGUCUUUAUUAUCAGCAUCAUCUAGAACCACAAGGACCUUCUUAGUGCUGAGUACUUCUCCAAUCCUCCUCAUUCCUUCUUCAACAUCCUGGACUCCUCCUACAGAUCUAUAAUCAACAAUGUCAGACAGUAGUUUUUUCUGCAAUUGGACUAUGCCAUCCUCGGUUGACAUCUUCUCUCGAACGUUCUCAUGAAAACUAGAACACUUUCCAAAGUGGGAAAGUAGUUUAUUGAAGACGACUUUGGCAACGGUUGUUUUACCAAUGCCACCCAUUCCAUAAAUUCCAAUGAGCCGCACAUCGCGAUGGUUGACAUCUAAUAACUCUGUCAAGUGCUUUACCCGAUCAUCAAGUCCGACUAAAUGUUCAGGCACUAAUCUUUGUUUAGGCUUCAGUUUCUCAAAAACCCUUUCAACAACCAAUUUGACAAUCGUUGCUUGGCUGCCAUAUGCAAAAGUGCUUUCAUUAGUUGACUAGAUCUACCCACGUAUCACACUUUGGAUAGUCAAAACUUUAACUUGAAUAAAUUGAAGCACAUCAAGGACGAGAUCCAAGUACACCGAAUAAUUAGUAUGGGCUAAUUUAGCACGAUUCACUUGAUAUGUUUUUCAUAUGUAGGUUAUAGAAAUGUCUAAAGACUAUAGUAUUACCUUACGCAAUAGCCAAAGUAACCAAGUGGUGGAUACUAUAUUGUGCAUCAACAAAAAUUCGACAUUUAUAGCUGAGCCUAGAAAAACUUUCAGCACUUGUAACGGGAGAAUCAUGAAGAUAAAUGCAGCGCUGUACAUUGAAGAUUGUAGUUUGCUCUCGCUUCUAUUGAAUAUUGAGACAUGAUUUUGUUUCACCAAAACAUGAUUUUGCUUCACCAAAUCUUAGUUUCCUUGGGUAAUCAUACACAAAGCAGAUGAUGUAAAGUUGAAUGAGAGCAAUGUUGGAAGUAGUUUUCAAUACUUCCCGUUACAAAAAGAACAAAAUAAAUCAUUCUAUAGGAAACACUGUAUUCCAUACAACAAAAACAAAAGAAAAAAUAGGUAAGAGUCUUAAAAGAGUAAAUUACCUUUCAUCAUUUUUUACGUUCCAUCCCUUGAUUUUCUUUACUUCUGCAAGAGCCUUUCUCCACUCCUCGACUUUUUCUAAAGGAAAAUUCUUCUCAUGUUCCAGUAAAGCAUUUUUAUAUAGUGGAGUCUCAAGCUUAAGAUCAUCAGGUUCCACAUUGAGAAAAAUGGGAAGGAUACUUUUCUGACUUUCUGACUCAGGCACAUUUUUUACUAUGUGCGCAAGCUCAUGGAGGCACCAUUUGCUGGAUGCGUAAGUUUGAGAGAAGAUGGGUAUGUAGAUCUUAGAAUUGUCGAUAGCACGUAAAAGGUUCUCACUAAUCACUUCGCCGACGCGGAGUUCUUCGUCAUCCCUAAAUACGCGGACUCCCGCAUCUACCAAUCCGUGGUAGAGGAAGUCUGUGAACACAUGACGAGUGGCAGGUCCUCUGAAAUUCAGGAACACUUGA
rnacentral:lncRNA from 1 species